AACGAACGCUGGCGGCGCGCCUAAUACAUGCAAGUCGAGCGAGAAGACGUAGCAAUACGUUUGUAAAGCGGCGAACGGGUGAGGAAUACAUGGGUAACCUACCCUCGAGUGGGGAAUAACUAGCCGAAAGGUUAGCUAAUACCGCGUACGCUCCUUGGACUUCGGUUCAGGGAGGAAAGCGAUACCGUGGGUAUCGCGCUCUUGGAUGGGCUCAUGUCCUAUCAGCUUGUUGGUGAGGUAACGGCUCACCAAGGCCUCGACGGGUAGCUGGUCUGAGAGGACGAUCAGCCACACUGGCACUGCGACACGGGCCAGACUCCUACGGGAGGCAGCAGUAAGGAAUAUUGCGCAAUGGGCGAAAGCCUGACGCAGCGACGCCGCGUGGGGGAUGAAGGUCUUCGGAUUGUAAACCCCUUUCGGGAGGGAAGAUGGAACGAGCAAUCGUUCGGACGGUACCUCCAGAAGCAGCCACGGCUAACUUCGU
rnacentral:rRNA from 1 species